rnacentral:piRNA from 1 species
UGGCAUGCGAUUUCCAAAGUGUCUCUGC